rnacentral:lncRNA from 1 species
AGACUGGGAGCCAACCCCGGAAGUCCAAACUCUAGGACGUCCCUGGGGCAGCCAGGGGCCAGUCUCCUGCAAAAGGGGCCAGGCCCACGGGCAGGCGCGACCAGAGGUCAGCCGCCCUGCAGAGGGAGAAAGAGAGAAGGAAAGAGACCUGGCCCACGAGCACACGCAACUAGGUCCAAGUGUCCUGCAAAGGAAGAAAGCAGACACACAGGCACGCGCGGCCAGAGACCAGAUGUCUUGAAAAGGGAGCGACUAAGCUAGCUUUGGGUACACUGGGCCAGCUCAAAACCGGCUGGCCGGUACGACCCAGGCACGCGUGAUAAAGGAUUUAGAGGCCAGGCCGGCGCAACCUUCCCCACAAACUCGGUCUCCCGCCCACCACCGCUGCCUGCCACCAGGGGGCACUCCCCGACCCAAGCAACGGAGAGUCACAGCUCAGAUCAGACAGGCCUGCACCUGGGCUCUUGCACCAGAGUUCGGAAACUGCCAAGUGACUCUGCUGGAGUUGGACAUGAAUAUAAUCCAGUACGUGGAGGCAGAAAGAGGAAGGAAGAUCAAGAGUUCAAGGAGGCUUGAGAGUGGGGGCAGAAGAAGAGAGAAGAGGCAAGAGAGGAGGAGAGAAGACAGAAGAGGAGGAAGCCUCCAUGGACCUGAACCACAUGGCCAGGAGAAACACUUUGACCCUUGCACAUAACAUGUCUCUGCUACGGAUGAAGUAAUGGAAGGGCCUCUGUUGUCCAUGUCUGUCGUUGUAAGGCCCCCACUUCACCUCUGUGGCUCCCAAGUGAAGCCUCGGCAUUGAGACACGAGUAAACUAACAACCUAUAAGCACUCCAGGAUAACAGCUCAGAUGUGAAAUUGGAGCUUUGGUGUACUGGUGCUCUUUGAAGUCUUUAAAGGACACUCGGUGUCUCUGAAGGCUGGCCUCAUCGCUGACUCUGAUGCAUCGUGUGCCAGCAGUGUAGCAGCUGAGAGCUGUCAGCUCAACUGCACUCACUGCCUCAGUGCUGAUUCACGGAGAGGGGACUGUGCGCCUCUCAGCUGGGAGGAGCCUUCGAGCAGAAUGACCUCCACCUCACUGCUGUCACCCGGUGCCACCCCACCAUUGUUACCUGGGUAACCCUGGAGCCUCAAUCCAGGCAUUUGAAGACCAGGCCAUGCAUGUCCCUUUAUUUCAUCUUUGACACACUGGAGAAUCGGGGCUCCAGAAGGUUGUGAACAAUCAGUCCAAGUGACUGGCAGAGACCAAGUAAGGUUCCUCCUGAGUCCUUCAGCCUCCCAAAAGCUUGGCCUGAGACCUCGCUCUUCAAAACCUGCCCCGCAGAUUUCAAGCACAGCACUCGAUUGCCAUCCCCUGUCUCUCACCCUCACCUUCCAAGUUCUGUUUUCUCAACACAAAAACAAAUACAGGAGAACAGAGAUGUCCUGGUACCGGGUCUUUAUUUCUAGCACCUGAGGAUAGUAUUCAAUGGGCAUUAUUGAAUAAAUGACGUGUCCGAAAGUUGGGCCCGUGCUAGUGGUCAAUUUGGGAAACAGCACGCAUGGAGGACGACCUGCAUACUGUAUUUGUGUUGUGUAUUUGUCCAAAUUCACUAGUUUCUCAGUUCUAAAUUCGAUUUGCAGGUACUGUUCACCAAGAGACCGUCAUCACAUGCCUGCUUGCCUAAGUGGCAAGGGAUGAGCUGGCAAAUGUCCAGCGUGCCGAGUAAUUUUUAUACAACUAUGAAGCAGUUGUAUCUGUUGGAAAAAGGAAAAGUUGGGCAGUCACAGCUUUAUUAAACAGAGACCAUCCAUUUGCCCAAAUCUCUAAUCUCCAGCAUUUGAUGGCAUCCUCUUGGGAAAGUGAAGGGUCAUAUUAUCUUUAGAUAAUCACUUGAAAUUAUUUAAAACACACACAUGGCUGGGAAGAUGGGUAGAUCAGUAAAGGUGCUUGCUGCCCAAGCCUAACCGCCUGAAUUCAAACCCUAGGACUCACACAGUGGAAGGGAAAAAAUAGUUCCUGCAAGUUGUCCUCUGACUGCCAUACAUCCACCCACUCCCAAACAAACAAACAAACACACACACACACACACACAGAGAGAGAGAGAGAGAGAGAGAGAGAGAGAGAGAGAGAGAGAGAGAGAGAGAAUUAACAUAAUUUAAAAUGUUAAAAAUUGCACACCCACAAAGCACCUUUCCUAAAACUCACAAUCAGAAUUUUUCCAGAACUGUUAUCAGCAUGCACCAUGCCGUCUACCUACAUCCUAAGAAUUCUCAGUGUGGUUUUGGCUGAGCUCUCUCCAAUAUCAUUUAUAAACACAGAACAUAGCCGAUGACCGCUGGCUGGUGAUUCCCUGACUUUAGGGCUGGUCCUGCACCACUCCCUCCUCACCUAUUUGCCACUAUAAAGCCAUAAAAGAAAUAGCAUUUGAGGCUUAACUUCUUUGCCUAUGUGCGGUGGAACUGCCAGAGCUAGAAGAUGCAUUAGAGCUAGGAAGCAGAGAAAUCAAGACGGGUUCAGGAUGCAGCAAAGGUAAGAGUGCACAGGCACAUUGCAGGUGCAAAGACAAACGGACACGUCGAGGAGAUUCUCCUCCGCUACAACAAGAGCAAUGGAAAUGGAUUUACUUUGUCCUCUGUGUUCUGUGUCACACAGUAUUUCCUCUUCUAUCCAGAAAAAUACACUCCCACAGGGCAAACAAUGAAUACACAAAAGAAUUUUACAUAGUAAGCAUUCAAUAAACACUUCUUGAAUUAAUGAAUAAACGUCCCUAGCCAAUGGCA